AACAGCAAAUAAAGCCUCGGGGAUGGGGAUUUCGCUGACAUUAUUUUUAAAAAAUUGUGGUAUAUCUGCAGAUUUUUAAUGAUUUUUUUUUUAAUUAUUAUUUAUUUAUUUCUUUUAUUUUUUUAAUUAAUUGGUUCUCCUCUCCUCACUAGUAAGAUUUAAUUUGAUAUAGAUGGAUUUAUGAUCAGUCAGUAUGGAAAAUGUUUACCUCUGUUACUCUUCUUUCCAAUUCUUUGGAAAUCAAACAAAAAUAUAUUUUUUCAAUGUUUAAUAUCAGUUACAUUUAAGCUGCAGAUAAUGAUUCAAAGAAGAAUAAGACAAAAGGAUCAAUCAUGCCAGUCAGGGUGCUAACGUCCGGACACACCCGUGUACUACAGCUUACACAGACAUGUCCGUCCGUCUCUGCAGCUUCCCCCCGUCGCCCUCGUGCAUUGACUACAGACCUGCUCCACCACACCGGAUCUGCAUCACCGCGUCACCGGGUGACAUCAUCACAGGCCUGGACGAGCCACAUCACCGUAGCCCGCCCACCUCCCCCACAUCACCGUAGAGGAAGCCCAGUACGAGCACCUAGGUCCUACCCAACGCCUCACCCACUGCAGGCGGCUCCCUGACAGCAUAACUGAUCCCAGUGUGCGAAAUGUCGCUCACUUGUAUAUAUACCCUGCAUAUGGUAGUACGUCCCAAACUUAUGGUUUUAACGCUAAACAUUUUUUUUUAAUGCUGUAAUGUGUUGGAAAUUUUUAAUUACACACUAUAUGUUGCUUAUAAAUGAAAUAUGACGACAAAUAAAUAUAUUUUUUCUUUUAAAAAGAUACAGUUUCAGCCGCAGUGCAUGCCGGGAGGCACGUGACGGCCUCCGGCUGGACUGCAGUUAGACCCCGCCCUCGCUACCAUGGACGUUGACCGAUAGACGCGUCAUUCACGGAUCCGGAGGGAACCAGCGGUGCCGCCAUGUAGCAGGAGGCAAGCUAAGCUAGCUCCACGUGCUAAAGCAGCGAUAGUCGACGGAGAACCGGAACCAUGCCGGUUGUUUGUUUUGACUUCAGAUGCAACAACCGGGACUCUUUAGGUAGCGGAUCGUGUGGAAUUACCUUUCACGAUACCAGGAGAAUGACAUCUUUGACCCUGUCUGGAGAACUGGAAGAGACCUUAAGAUCCAGACCAGGUCUGAGAGCUUCAGACUCUUUCAAGCCUCAGUGGAGAGAGACUUCACCAUAGCCCAUCUUCACCAUCAGGCCAGCAGGAGCUCUUCCCUGAGUGUGGUGUGUUCGAGUCAUCGUGCUGCCAUGAACCACGCAUCUAAACCACAUCGCAUGCAUCAGUUUCAUGCACUGUCCAAUCAUGUCGUCACUGUUGGAGUAUCAAAAUCCCUUUUGGUCUUCCUGGAAAUAAUCCCUCCGGAAAAGAAGGAAAGCAGAUCCGUCGACGCAAUCCGAACUUGUGUCCUGAGAUGUGCCACUCCACCUGGUUGGGAAAAAAUUGUGGAGGUCCAGCUCAAGAACGCGUUUGUCAGCAAAUGCCGGGCCAGAGCAGGUUCUAAGCAGUAGGCCACUGCUAUGAUCUACAGUAUGUGGACUGGUUACUCUUUCAUCCUUCGUUUAUUUUUUGUUUUUAAUUUUCGUGGACCAUGAGUUUUAAUACAGUUCCUGCCAAGUGUGUUCUAGGAUUUGGAAGCAUGUAAGUUCUGUUGUUUCAAAGCCAAGUGAGAUUCCUCCUUGUACCUCAGCAGUGCUGUCAGUGUGUUUGUUGUUUAGAAUCUGGAAGUGUUCAUUAUCACCACGUCGGCCAGAUUGAGUACGCCACAGUUCAUGUACUUAAUGCAAUUACAUAAAAAAAGUUUGAAAAAGUUAGAUCUCCGGGUAUAAUUCGACACAAUUUUGUGAAUGUAUUUCUGGUUUUACUCAAAAUAGUUCAUUAAGAAGCCUGGUGGUUUUAACUCUUGUGCUAUCCUAGACAUGUUUACAUUAAAAGUGGGGUCAUCUGGAUCCCACAAGAGAGCGCGCUAAAGUUUUUUUCCCAAGGAUUUUUAAUCUUGUCUGGUGUCCGUGGCAGACAUAAGAUCCUGUCCACAUUUGUUAUGGGAGAGAUCACACAUCAAUGUAAUGGUAGGGUCAUCUUGAUCCCAUAAGAGAGCACAAGGGUUAAAGUACCUUUAAAUUAUUAAAAAAAUAGUUUUGUUAAAACCGACUUUUCAACAAGGGGGUUAGUAAACAAUGUCAGAGCUUGUAUUUAAUUUAUUUUUGUAUCUCAUUUAUGUUUCAUAUUUUGUUUAAAAAAUGUAAAGAGUCUAAUGCUGUUAUCCUAAUACAAAUGUACUGAUGGUGCUGGUCAAAUCCCAAAUAAAAUGUAACAUUUACAUA